CACACGCAUGCGCUCUCUCUCUCAAAUAAAUAAAUGCAUCUUAAAAAAUAAAAAAUAAAAAAUAGACUCUAGUGCCUGGCACCACCACCACUGCGUGUGUGUGCAGUGUGGGUGGGCACAUACACACACACACACACACACUCAUACACACAGUCCCCGGCAACCCUGGGCGGGGGGUGCCACUCUUCACAGACGACUGACAGAGGUUGAGCGUCUAGAAUUCUGAAUUCGAUACAGAGAUGCCCCCCGGGUCCGCGUGUCCCCUAAAGAGGGAAUCUCCAGAGUGAAGGCCUAGUUCUUGACCCAGACUCUAACCUGGAAAGGCCUUCCGAGCAUCGCGUGGAGACUGGCCUGUGGGACGUAGCCUGGCUCUUCCCAUCCCACCUGCUUUCACAGGGGCUGCAGAAUCAGGAGUGCCCCCCCCCACCGUGAGAACUGAGCCUGGGUUCCCCUGCGUCUGAGAGAGGAAAUGCCUGUCCUCAGCCCUGCUUCUUUGAAGAAAGAAGGAGUCACUAGCUGAGAGGUGUUUUCAGGUCCUGGCUGCAGGGCCCCAGAGGUGGGGAGAGGGCAGGGGCUGUGUGUCCCCUGGUGGGAGCAGUGGGUGCUGUCAGCCUUCUCCCAGCACUCCCAGCAGAGAAGGCAGGGGCUCCCUGGGAGGAAUAGCGGCUUGCCCCCGAGGCAGUGGGCCCAUUCUCAGGGCCUCUGCUGCCGGGCUCCGUGGCUGCCCCUGAGCUGCCCGGCUGUGGGUCUGGGAGCUGCAGGAAGCCAGGGGCAGCAGCCACGGAGGAGCUCGGGGGCCUCUGUGGCGGGGAUGUGUCUCUCACGCGGCCCCUGGAAGUCCCUGUGCCAGCAGCAACGCUCCCCUCCUCUACUGCGGGGGUGCCGGGUCUGGGACCGUCAGUAUGAUUCAUCCUCGACACACUCUGAGGAUGCUGGAGGCACAGCUGGCCAGACGCGCUCCUCCGGAACUCUGCGAGCCGAGGGGCACCAGAGGGGUGCUCCCUGCAGAGGGCAAAGAUGCGCUGCUCCAGUCAGCACAGCCCGGCCCAGGAAGGGUCAGCCCCCAGAGGGGUGAGCAGGGUGAUGCCCAGGCUCAGGGCAUUCGUCCCCAUCUACGUGGCCCUGGAGGGUCCUGGAACGGCAGGUUUCACGUGACUUCUGCUGGGUGACUGCUCUGAGCGCGCCCCCUGCCCCAGUACUUGGGCCUGAAGCCAGGAGUCCUGUGAUAGUUCUGCCUGCUUGCCCUGGCACUCCCCCAUCCCCACUAAACACCCUGCCCGGUGGGGGGGGGGCGUGUCCCUGCCCUGCACAGCCAGCCCUCACCACCCAGGACCCUGUGUGCAUCACCAUCCCCAGGAUUCCAGUGGGCCUGGGCGGGAAGCUGCUCUGAGGGCCUCUGAGAGAGGAGAGCAAGGGGGAAGGCCAAAAGGAAGUCACAAAGAUCAGUUUUAAAAUAGCCCUCCUCCGUGUUAGCCAGGAGGAGGGGCUUGGGGAGGAGCCAGGUUCUGAUGGUGGUGGCUCAGGGCAACCUCGGAAAGGCCCGAAAAGCGACUUGGCAGAGGCCCAUCUGGGAGCACACCCCAUGUGCUUAUCAGCCUGAGCAAGCCACGGCCAAAACCCUGUCUUCGCAGAGACUUCCGGCCACCAGCAUCUGUUUCCUCUCCUAUAUUUAAACAACCAGGGUGGACCAAAGAGGACUGGCUCAUCUCCUUGCUGUGGGGCCAUAGCCAGUCUUGCAGCUGCUCCACCCCCUCCUGGAUCUUCCUUCACCUUUUCCGACUCCUGGGACAGGGAAAUUCUCUGACCGCUCACACGGAUGAGCUAGCCAGGCCUGCAUAGAUACAACAGUACUGACUCCCACAAUAGCUUACCGAAGUAUUACUGGCAGAUUUCUGCUUCUUUCUCCAUGAAACUUCUUGGGAUUUGUUCUUGGAGAACUGCAACCAGCCUUCUGAAAUGCCAGCCUUGACAGCUACCAUACUACUUUCUGAGUCCAUGAAUUUGACUACUCUAGGGACCUCAUGUAAGUGGAAUCAUAGAGCAUUUGCCCUUCCGUGACUGGCUUAUUUCAUUCAGCACAAUGUCCGAAAAGUUCAUCCAUGUUGUACAUUGUGUUGGAAUUCCCUUCCUUUUUAAGACUGAAAAAUAUUCCAUUGCAUGUAUAUGCCACAGUUUUUUUAUCCAUCUGGUGAUGGACACCUGAGUUGCUUUGGAUGAUUGUAAAUAGUGCUGUUGUGAACGUGGGUGUACAAAUGUCUGUUUGAGUUCCUACUUUCAGUUCUUUGGGGGUAUAUAUCCAGAAGUGAAAUUGCUGGAUCAUAUGGUGAUUCUGUUUUGAAUUUUUGAAGAGCCACUAUACUGUUUACCAUAGCCUGCACCAUUUUACGUUCCCAACAAUGGAGCACAAGUGUUUCAAUGUCUCCACAUCCUCACCAACAUUUGUUAUUUUGUGUUGUUUUCCUGGGUUUUGGCUUUCUUUUUUGGUACUAGCCAUACUAGUGGGUUUGAAGUGGAAUAAUGCCAUCUUUUUUUUAUAAUAAUUUUUUAUUAUGUUAUGUUAGUCACCAAACAGUAUAUCCUUAGUUUUUGAUGUAAUGUCCCAUGAUUCAUUAUUUGUUUAUAACACCCAGUGCACCAUGCAGUACAUGCCCUCUUUAAUGCCAUCUUAACAAUAAUCUAUCCCUAUUUCAUUCUUUUUGAUGGUAUUAUAAAUGGAAUUUUUUUAAAUUUCAGUUUUAGAUUUCUCAUUGCUAGUGUACAGAAAUACAACUGAUUUUUAUAUAUUGAUCUUGUAUCCUUCAAUUUUGUUGAACUGAACAGUUCUAUGUGUGGGUCUGGGUGGAUCCCAUCUGUAGAAGGACAUAAUAAAAGUACCUACUGUUAUGAGGAUUAAAUGCAUUAGCACUUGUCAAGUGAUAAGUACUGCACUUGGCACAUAAUAAACACUAAAAAAUUGUUAGACACUAAAUAUUUAUUAGACAGUAAAUAUUUAUUAAAGGCCUAUUACACACUUAUAUGUAGGACUUGUACAGUGAACAAGACUGACAACAGGUGUCUUAGUCAAUGUGGACUGCUUUAACAAAUUACCACAGACUGGGUAGCUUAAAUAACAUUUAUUUCUCACAGUUCUGGAGACUGGGAAGCCCAAGAUCAAGGUACCAACAGAUCAAAGUCUGUUGAAGGCUAUCUUCUUGCUUUGCACAUGGCCUCCUUCUGUAUCCUCACAUGGCAGAGAGAGAUCAUCAUCUUCUUAGAAGUUCACGAAUUCCAUUCGUGAGGGCUCCCCCUUCACGACCCAAUUACCUCCCAAAAGGCCUACCUCCAAAUAUCAUCACAUUGCAGAUUAGAGCUUCAAAAUAAGAUUUUGAGGGGAGGGGACACAAACAUUCAGCCAACAGCAACAGGUGAGAUCUCCGAUCUUGCAGAGCUUGCAUGAAAUAUCCCAAACACUUCAUACUCGGAUUGCUGUUUUUCAGAUUACUUCUGUUGGGAAACAGUUUUUCAUGGGUUUCUCAUGUUGCUUCCCCUCUUGCAAGCAGAGGCACAGAUGGCUUUAUUUUAGGACUGUCUUCCUCUAGAGCAGAGAACAGGUUUAUGUACUGUCUAGUUUAAUGAAGAUAAUAUCUCCCUCCAGGCAAAAGUCAGGCAGAGGCUCUUGGAGACCACCACAAAAGAUUUGAGUUUCUCAGGCUUGGGGUUCCUCAGCUGCGAUAGCAAGCCAUGGAGUAUACAGCAUUCACUCUGCAUCACCUCUGUGGGACUCAAGGAGCAAGGAGAGUGGAGGUGAAACUGAAACUCAUGCUGUUUGUUGUGCCACAAAUAAUGAAGUCUUUUUUCUCUGACUCAGGAGUCUCACAUCUUCUGCCAACAUCCUCACAAGGGGCUAACUUUGUUGAUUGCAGGUAGGGUAAAAUGUCAGACCCUUCACAGUUUUUGAUAACUUCCAUCCAGUAUGCUGCUACAAAGGUAUCUUCCUGAAACCUAAUUUCUACCUAGUACAUCUAAAUUUCUUUAGCUGGCUUUCAGGCUCCUCCAUCCCUCUCCAACCAAAUUGUCCAUCUCUUCUUGAAGAAGACCCUCAUGGGCCAGGAUUUUCAAACAUAUAGUAUCAUGCUCAUUUCUACUUCUGACAUUGGGUUCCUAUCUCUCCCACUUUGGAAUUUCUCCCUCAUUCCCUUUUCUCUUACUUAACCAGUUCAAAUCCAUUUCUCAAGACCUGUUUCAGGUCCAAAACUAGCAGGAAAAGUCCCCUUGAUCAUCCUUUCUGUGAACAUCAGUAAUACUUAAGAAUGUGUACACAUAACAAGAAUUUGAGUACAUAGUAUUGUCUAAUAUUGUUUUCUAGAGGUUCCACAUGGGUAUGCAUUGCCUCUUCAUUCUGAUUGUAAGCAGGAAGCUGGGCGCAAAGCAGAAGCUGAAUGUGAUGGACUGAAGUGGUUCUCGAUCAAGCAUUUUGGGAAAACCCAUUCUAGUACCUAGGGUUGUCCUAGCAGCUGCUGUUCAGAAGGCACGAUUGACUGGGCUCUUACCAUGGUUAAGAAAUUUAGAUGCAUUAUCUCUUAAUUCUUACUACACUCUACAAAUGACAUCACCAUGUCAAUAUCGUGGAUGAGAAGAUUUAUGCUUAAAGCGAUUGCAUAAUCUACCCAAAGCCCUACCCUGCAAGUAAGGAGCGAAGCCAAGAUUGAAACCCAGGCCUGAGUGACUCUGAAGUCUGUGCUUUUAACAACAAGCAGCUUACAGUGUAUCUGGGGAGAUAAGAAAUUCACAUAUGAAAUCACUGGAAAACAGUAUUUGUUGAAAGGCCAAAUACAGCUCCUUAAGUCACAGAUUAUGGUGGUUCUUCAAGGCUAGAUCAAAUUCUUUUUUCUGAACCCUGAGGGACACUCAAGAGGGAAGGCUCUGAGUUUUAUAACAAAACAAAAGUUUACAAGGUCCCUGAGUUGUAUAUAAUCAAUAAAGUCGAUAAUUGCAUGUGUAGGGUGGGCAGACAAGAGAACCCCUGGGAAAAUGCCCCUGGUGCUAACAACUUGUGUUUCUCAGAGACAUAACAGCUUAGAGAGAGCACUUUCACAGAUAUCAUGGCACAUCGUCUUUGCAACAACACUGAGGGAUACGAAUUACCUCCGUUUCACAAAUGAGGACAAGGCACUGAGUGAGUGGCCGGCCUAUCCCACGUCACUGCGUCAUGUUCCAGUGUGGUCCCUGUGCAGACCGAGACCUAGAGCUUUGCCUCCAGCCCUUCCAUUUUCUGCUCGGCCUCGUUUCCACUCAGGACAGGGCAGCCCCACAUCCAGUCGGACUGUUUUUCCCAGAAGCUUCCCUACCUGGUGCCUUUCUGUUCUGUGCAUCCUGCUGGAUCCCUUCCAUCAGUCCAACUGGUGGUCUCUACCAACUGCCGUGGAAGCUUCCGAUAACCACAUUCCAUCCAUCCAACCCUUCUGCCUUUGGAGGACCAGCGGUCCCUUGGUUCUGGGGGCAGAGAAUCAGAUGUACUCAUGAAGCCUCGACCUCCUAAAACUGCUGAUUAUCCUUUUUCUCCUACAGCAACUUUUAUACCAUAAACCAAGGAAAAGCUGGUUGUUGGGUAACUUUCCAACAGACAUUUUGAAACUUGAAGUGGGAGAAAUAUUGAAAUUUCUGGAACUCUGCUUCUGAGUGCCUUGUUAUCUUUUCUCUUUGCUUAAGUUCCCCUGUGAUCGACCGUCAAGCCUUCUUACAGUCCAUAAGUGUUUAUUGAGCUCCUAUGGGGUCCAGGGACUGUACUAGGUUCCAGAAAUACAUCACUGAGCAACAUAAGAAAGUGCGUGCUCUCACGAAACUUGCACUCUAGUCAACAGCAUGCCAGGUGGUGAUGGGCACGGUCAUGAAAAACGAAGUUCAGGGGUUAGGAAAUGACUGGCAGACCGGGGCCUAUUUUUGAAAGUGUGGCCAGAAAAAGCAGCUUCGGUGAGGUGCUUGAAUGCUCUGAGAUAGUGAGCAAAGUUCAUUGGCUCUGCAGAGAAAAGGCUGUCCGGACUCGGGGAACAGAGCACGGAGGGCCUGAGGUUAGCCCAUCUUCAAGGCCUCCAGGAAUGGCAAAGAGCCAGGGUGGUUGCAUCAGAGUGAACAAGGGGAGGGCGGUAGGAGGCGAGGCCCAAGAGCAAGUCAGGGGCAAGAUUUUGUAGUGCUUUGAAGGCCCAGAGAGGAUUGUGGCUUUUUAGGCAUCCCACCUCGUUCAAACAAACAAACUGAGCAGCUAUUUUAGGCCAGGGUUGCUGGGUGCUGGAAAUACAAAGAUGAAUGAAACAAAGUCCCAACUGUCAAGAGGUGUAAAGUCUAAAGGAAAACAGAGACAAGGACGCAGGCAACUCUAUCACGGUGCAAUAGGUACUAUGACGGGGUUAAGCACACAAUCCCGCAGCAACAUGGGGAGGGCGCCCAGCACUGUGCCAACACACUGGCCACUCGCCACGCAAGAUUAUUAGGCACUUGAAGUGUGACCAGCAUGACUGAGGAAAUGAACUUUUCACUUACCUUAAUUUUCAUGAACUUAAAUGUAAAAACUGAAGCAAUGUGAAAGAGUUUCCCAUUUAACACAACUUUAUUGUGUUGGUGGGACCCCAUGCUACACUUACUGUCACGUCACGUACGCUAUUUACAGGCUGUAGCGUUCGUGUGCUUUCAACUUUUUAAAAAUGUGGCUACUCGAAAACUUACAAUUCAAUAAACAUGUGGCUCAUGUAGUGUUUGUAUUGGAGAGCGUGAAUCUAAACCGAAAGUGGGAGAGAUGAGUCAGGGCAAAGCAGAAGCAGAAGCCUCCAGGCAGAGGGCCUACGUGUGCCAAAGCCCAGAUGGUAGCAAGAGCUUGGCACCUUCGAGGAAUUACGUGUAACUCAUUGUGAUGAGCUCUGAGAUGCCAGCGAAGAGUGGGGGAGACGGGAAGGGAAGGUGAACAGCAGCCAGGUCCUGAGGGCUUGGGAUACAGUAGCACAGAAUCUGAGUUUCACCUUGAGGGUCUCAGGGAGCUACCGAGGGAUUUGGGCACGGGAGCUCCACGACCAGCUUGGAACUGUGGAAAAGGUCACUGUGGCUACCAUGAGAAGGGUGAAUUGAAGGGGACAAGAAUGGAAGGAGGAGGAGCCGUUAGUGUCAGUCACAAUAAUCAGGCAGGAGACCAAGACAGUGACAGCAGAGGCAAAGACAGAACUGGACUCAUGUGCGACACUAAUGAGAAGUCAGAUCGGCUAGACUCUCAAUCGAGCAAGCAUGAGGAGCAAAUGAGUACUGCCCUCAAAGUGGAGUGUCCAGGCAAACAACUGAGCUCCUCAAGGAACGCCGGGUAUGAGGGCUCAACCAUCGGCCUGUGCCUCCCCUCUGGACCAAGACAAUGAGUAACAGUUGGCGGGAAGAAACCUCUCCUGGAAUCGCACUCGGGGCAUCUGAUUUUGCCUUUAAUCAAUAUUAUUUUUGGAAGUCAGUGUAUUUUAUGCUUCCAGGCACACAACUCAAGUAUUUUCAUUUUCUUUGAUCAAAAGAUGGCUGACUGACCAGAAUAUCUCUCUCAAAAAUAGUCUUGGAAAGAGACCUGUAUUGUGAGGCAUGUCCCUCUCUUCUAGUGGCCAACAGGGAAGGGAAAAAAUAUUAAAUAUAGCAGAGAGCCACAGCUCACCUUAGCAACCCAGCGACGCACCCAGAUUUCCGGGAGCCCAAAAUUUUAUAGAUUUUUUUGAGGGGUGGGAUCUCUUUAAAGAAAAGAAAACGGAAGUGUGACUUCAAAACUGCCAGGUAGGCCCUCCUGCAAAUGAGGGGCCCCCAUGCUUAAGCUUCAUUAGCUCCAUGGUUUAUCUGCCUCAGUAUUAACAGCUUUAGGACGCCAUUUUGUUCAUCCGUCAGACGUUUAUCAACUAUCUAAAGUGAUAUGGGCAUUGAGCAGGGCCCUGGGGAUAUAAACAGAAUGAGACACUGCCCUCAAGAAAUCCACCCUUUCAUGGGGGACAGAGUUAAACAGGUCAUCAGGAAUGCAAGGAUACAAAGUCUAUCCACCGGGUAUCAUGGGUACAGAAAAAAGAGGCCCUUGACUUACCUAAGGAAAGAGUGGUCUGGGUGUCUUCCUCAGGGGGUGGGUAAUAUUUUGUGUCCCACAAAGCUGCAAAAUUUGUCAACCCAAAGUAGAAGGGUCUUGAAUGGCAAACUCAGUUCUUGCUAAAAGACUCAUCACAGCCAGGAUGAAUGGUUGACUAAGAACUUGAGAUCCUCCCCACCAAGAUAAAAUGACAGCCCUGUUAACGAACUGACCUGGGUCCUCCCGAAAGACAUGUGUGGAAGCCCUAACCCUCCAUUGUGACUACAUUUGGAGAUAGGGCCUCCAAGAGGUAAUUAAGGUUUCAGGAGGUCAAAAGCCUAGGGCCCUGAUCUGAUAGGACUGAUAGGCUUAUAAGGAAAAGACAUUAUCAAAAGGAAAAAAGAAAAAUAAAUAAAUUUUUUAAAAAAAGAAAAAUAACAAAAAAGUAAAAAUUAAAAAAAAACAAAAAU